rnacentral:rRNA from 1 species
UACGGGGGGGGGCAAGCGUUGUUCGGAAUUACUGGGCGUAAAGGGCCAGUAGGCGGCCAACUAAGUCGGAUGUGAAAUCCCCAGGCUCAACUUGGGAACUGCAUCCGAUACUGGAUGGCUUGAAUUCGGGAGAGGGAUGCAGAAUUCCAGGUGUAGCGGUGAAAUGCGUAGAUAUCUGGAGGAAUACCGGUGGCGAAGGCGGCAUCCUGGACCGAGACUGACGCUGAGGCGCGAAAGCGUGGGGAGCAAACAGG